UGGGGCGUCGCCAAGUGGUAAGGCACCGGCUUUUGAUGCCGGCAUUCGUAGGUUCGAAUCCUACCGCCCCAGCCA
rnacentral:tRNA from 5 species